AAAAUGUAAACAACUUUUAAAAAUCAUCACAUACUGUAAAUUAGUUGUCAAUUAAUAAGAAUAUGUCAAUAACUCAAUAUUGACAAAAACGUCAGAUAGAACUUUAUAAUUCUAAGGUGACGUAUUGUCAAAAGCUGAUGAUUACUGACUUGACAUCAAAUAUUGCAGAAUUAAAUGUCAAAAAAUGUUCUUUAAAGCUUGUGACUUUCUCAUUAUGCUGUUAUUCACUCUAGAUCGUCAUUUAGUCAGUAUGUAAUUAAUGCACCACAGAUCAAUAAACACAUUUAAUUUAUCUGACGAGCUCUUAUAUCGGGAUGCAGAAUGUUUUCAUUGCUUACAGAUUUCACUGACGCAGACACAAGUAAUAUUUUACCAACAAAAACACGACCACAUUUCCUUUCAUGAAUGCCUAAUAAAGAUGACUGGUUAUUAAAAACAUAUAUAUUGUAUUAAGCCAUUCAUAAAGUGUUGAAUUGUAAGUAUUUCUGUUGCUAUAUUAAGAUGCAACAAGUGGAUGUAAAAAAAUCUUGUGAACUUUGUAAAAGGCAGAUUUGAUCAGUCUUUCUCCAAUAUUAUCUGGAUGCAGAUUUGGAUUUGCAAACUGAGACUGCAUAAAUCAGACCUACAAUGUCAGACACGAUGCACUCAAUGGAGCUAGUGACGUCACUGUAAAGGGUGGGGUUAGGUGUGCGCAUUAAAGCGCAGCUCCCAUCUGCUCCACUAGGCGGCAUCAGCGAGCUGCUCUUAGCCUGAACACCUUUGACAACAGCGCCACAGAUCAUCACAGGUACACCGUUUUACUGGCGUCAAGUUGAGCUCCAGCAGAUGACAGCUCAGUGACAGACUCAUAAUGUCAGUCAACAGCACAUAUUACAGCCCGACAGCGAAGAAAAGCGACACAAAGAGCAGAAAUGGAGAGUAACGCGACUCACCUCAGUGAAGAUACACACGUGUGUCUGUUGUGUUUCUGCUGCACAUCUUUCCUCUUUCUGACGCUCCUCCACACACUCCUCCACAUCCAGGCGGAUUCACAGCUCCAGUAAAGAUGAAUGACAGUGAGGGCGGGUCUGCAGCAGUGAAGAUGCACACGUGUGUCCGUUGUGUGCUGCACAUCUUUCACCUGACGCUCCUCCACAUCCACACGCAUUUAUAUCCUUUGCAAAGGCUUUUUCUGAUGUCAAGUUUCCACCUGAUAGUCAACAAAGGCCGUUUGUUGUGCUAAAGCAGUCACGUGAGCUUUUUGGGAGUGAUGUCAUGUAGAACGAAUUUGAUUGGGCAGAUUUGGUAGUGCAAGAUGAGUCAUCAAUGUAAUGUUUACAUGUCUUACCUACUUCUAAAAUAUGAGCUCAGCUGACAUUUACACUGUGAAAACUGCAUCGACUCUUCAGAAGUCUUAAUAGAGCAUUUCAAUUUGGUUAUCUCAUUGGCCAAUUAACAUUUUCUGCUUGUUAUCAUAGUAUUUUAUUACUAACAAAAGGUAAUUCACUCAUAACGUAAUAAUAAAACAGACAUCACAUAAUUAUUUAUUAAUAUGUGGCUCUUUUUGGAUUCUCAGAAGCUAUAGAAAUUAAAAAUGUAUAACAAGAAAUACAGGGACCAUUUGUUUUUGUUUACAUCUCUCAAAAUAGUCUAUAUGACAGUAACUUUGAAGCAAUUAAAACUAUUGUUAAGUGGAUUUAAAGCAAUGUCCUACUUGCAUCCUUGUUAGUGGUCAACAUCUUUAACCACUAUGCCACAAUUUAACAGUAAGCAGUAAGGGGAUUUGAACUCAAGACUCUUGACAUGAAGCUCGAUGAUCUGAAUUUUGUUUUAGACAUGAUUUUAAAUCUUUCAUUUUCUUUUCGGCUUAGUCCCUUUAUUAAUCUGGGGUCGCCACAGUGGAAUGAACCGCCAUAGUUUAUCUAAACAGCAAACAUUUAACAUUUGGGACUCGGACAGUGCUGUUAUAACUUUUUAGGAAUCUCUAAUCUAGUGUCAUUUCAAAGAAUAAAUAACAUUAUUAUCCUAAUAAUUCCUGAAAUAUACAUAUAUUUAAAUAGACAACACUUAGUGUACAGCACAAUUAGCACAAAACAAAAAGACAAAACUAAUCAUAACCCUUUUAAUUACAAAUCACAUGUUGCUUAAGCAAAUAAUGUGUGAAAGCAUUAACUAUCAUUUACAUUUUCAUCAAUCAUAGCCAAUCCUUUAACCCAUAAUAUAACAUUGUUCAGUAUUAGUUUAUUUAUUAUAGAUUUGUUAAUUAUACUCGUGUACAGAAGAUUGUUUUUAGGUCUAACUACUAUAACAAACAACAACAAACACUACUAAUGCUAUCAUUAUUAAUAAUAUGUAACAAAAAUAAAUUAGAAGAGUCAUUUUAAUAAAUUAAGGCACUUAUGAAUAUAUUAAGAGACGGUUUGAAAAUGUAUGUAUAACAGACAUUUUUAUUUCACUUUUACACACUUCCUAUAUUUUAGGAAUUAAACUUUUGGAUAAACAACUUUGAUUUUUCAGUCACAACAAUUGAAAACAAUUCUUAAGAGUUGUCAUUUUUAAAAGAAAUAUUCUCAGACUCAAUAAUGUUGAUGUCUGGUGACUAGGCUGGCCAAUCCAGGAGCACAUUGACCUUCUUUGCUCUCAGGAACUUUGAUGUGGAAGCCGAAUUACUUUAAGAAAAUCUUGAAUUGAAAGGUGUCAGCUUCCACACUGCAAAGGAGACCUAAAGCUUAUGAAUGAAUAGUCAUUUUAAUUAAUUUACUUUAAGGCAUUUCUACUUAGUUAUGAUAAUAUUAAGAGAUUAUUAAAAAAAAUCAUUAUUACAGACAUUUUUAUUGUACUUUUAUACACUUCCUAUAUUUUAGGAAAGAAACAUUUAGAUAAAUAACUUUAACAAUUUUAAACAGUUCUGAGGAGUUGUCAUUUUUAAAAGAAAUGUUCUCACACUCAAUAAU